UGCGUGUCUCUAUCGCCAUUGUUUCUGUUGGGACGCCCGCCGCGGAUGACCCUAUAUAGCCCUCGGCCGGCUACCGGGAAGACUGCGUCUCGUACUGACGAUUGUAACGAAGAUGUACCGUGCUUUCCUUCAGAGAGUUUAGUCGCCCUAAUAUGUGCAGCAGGCUAACCAUGUGGAAGUUUGCCUGAAAGUAAGCGCCCAUGAGCACAUGUUGGGCUAUUAGGAAAGUUGGUGACUAAACUCUGCUUAUGCCGAAUGCCCAGCAAUGUCCACUUGAGAUCCAGAAGCCAGGAAGAAGGGGGCCUACUUGGCCAACAUGGCUGAUCAGGAUGCGUGCAGACAGGAUUUUAGGCCAUGGGCCUGAGGUAUACCCUGGUAGCUAGCCCAUGUCCUAAGUUAUGAACUGGAUUUGGAUUAGCUUGGGUUUGACUGUUUCCAGGACUGGUGAGAUGAGUUAGUAACGCUGGGGCGGGGGGCCCUCUAAGACUCAACAUCUCCCUAACCGUAUAUGGCCUUAAAAGAGGUGAUUGUGAGUUGGCUGGUCUCUUGAGUUCAAGGCCAGCCUGGUCUACAAAGCAAGUUCCAGGACAGCCAGGACUGUUAAACAAAGAAACAUUGUCUUGAAAAACUAAAAAAGGAGAGGGGAAAAAAGGCUGGAUGUUGUGACACAAAUAAACUUGUCGC